rnacentral:rRNA from 1 species
UUAACCGGAUUAGAUACCCUGGUAGUCCACGCCGUAAACGAUGUCGACUUGGAGGUUGUGCCCUUGAGGCGUGGCUUCCGGAGCUAACGCGUUAAGUCGACCGCCUGGGGAGUACGGCCGCAAGGUUAAAACUCAAAUGAAUUGGCGGGGGCCCGCACAAGCGGUGGAGCAUGUGGUUUAAUUCGAUGCAACGCGAAGAACCUUACCUGGUCUUGACAUCCACGGAAGUUUUCAGAGAUGAGAAUGUGCCUUCGGGAACCGUGAGACAGGUGCUGCAUGGCUGUCGUCAGCUCGUGUUGUGAAAUGUUGGGUUAAGUCCCGCAACGAGCGCAACCCUUAUCCUUUGUUGCCAGCGGUCCGGCCGGGAACUCAAAGGAGACUGCCAGUGAUAAACUGGAGGAAGGUGGGGAUGACGA